rnacentral:rRNA from 1 species
UGGGGAAUAUUGGACAAUGGGCGAAAGCCUGAUCCAGCCAUGCCGCGUGUGUGAAGAAGGUCUUCGGAUUGUAAAGCACUUUAAGUUGGGAGGAAGGGCAGUAAGCGAAUACCUUGCUGUUUUGACGUUACCGACAGAAUAAGCACCGGCUAACUCUGUGCCAGCAGCCGCGGUAAUACAGAGGGUGCAAGCGUUAAUCGGAAUUACUGGGCGUAAAGCGCGCGUAGGUGGUUCGUUAAGUUGAAUGUGAAAGCCCCGGGCUCAACCUGGGAACUGCAUCCAAAACUGGCGAGCUAGAGGAGGGCAGAGGGUGGUGGAAUUUCCUGUGUAGCGGUGAAAUGCGUAGGUAUAGGAAGGAACACCAGUGGCGAAGGCGACCACCUGGGCUCAUACUGACACUGAGGUGCGAAAGAGUGGGGAGCAAACAGG